GACGAACCGUGCGAACGUUAUUCGGAAUCACUGGGCUUAAAGCGCGUGUAGGCGGGCCGGCACGUCGGCCGCUGAAAUCCCCCGGCUCAACCGGGGAACGGGCGCCGAUACGACCGGCCUGGAGCGAGGUAGGGGGCGCCGGAACUCACGGUGGAGCGGUGAAAUGCGUUGAGAUCGUGAGGAACGCCCGUGGCGAAAGCGGGCGCCUGGACCUCCGCUGACGCUGAGACGCGAAAGCCAGGGGAGCGAACGGG
rnacentral:rRNA from 1 species